ensembl:lncRNA
ACACAAAGCAUGGCUGGCUGUGGCAUUGCCAUGCAGCCCAGCUCCUAGGGCAGCUAGCUCCGACAGCGCUGCUUGCCUGGGACGGCAACUCCAAGAUUUCCCCUCAGCAAACAAAGGAGCCCCACAGACAACAGUGCCUUUGCUUAUUUCUCAGAAAGGUCUAGCUUUUUGUGCAGGAAGGAUGAUAUCCUGUGGGAUAACAGGAGUCAGCAUCAUCUGCAUCUACCCUAAAUCUGGGAACCAAACUUCUGCACAGUCAACACAGAGAGUUAGUGAGAGCUUCAGGAGAAAACCACUGGACCUUCUGAGACCACGUUACCAUGAAGAGAGAUCUACAAGCAGCAAAGAUCUGACCCUCAAGAGUCAGACAACCACACUUAGAGGGCACGUGAUCUGGCAUUUAUGCUGACUCUGUGCCAGUGCUUAGACAACAGACUGCAGUUGUUUCAGUGCAAAGCUGGAUGGCUGGAGGAAGAUGAUACUGAAGCUGGCAUAAAGCCAACCAAUAUAAAGCUAAAUUACCAGCAUUUAAAAAAAUAUAUAGUUGAACUCGCAGAACUAUUUCUUACUGUGUCAGCGUUUUGCCUCAUGUGGCUUUGGUGCUUUUGAUCCAGUAGUGGGAGCCCUGAAGCAGGAUUUGCUGUGUUCUUGAACAACUGCCCAAAGUUGCAGAGCACCUAGCAAAAUGAAGCUUACCUUAGUUCGCUUCUUAGGUACUUUUGGAAAGUUCACUAUUUUAUUAAAUUGUAAUAGUAGCAAUAAUACUAAUAAUUAUUGUGUGCAUUAAGC